GAAGUUUAAAAGAUAAUCUGUCAUACCAUGAAUUCAUGGACUAUUCCUGACCACAGAUUUAGGAUGCUCUCUGAAUAUCCUUUACCGGAAGCUGGAAACUGGAGCAGAAGAGGCCACUUGGAUUAAGAACCCCAAGAAAAGUCAACAUUGGCACUAAAAACAAAACCAUAGACAUACUGAGAAUAUUCGAAGGUGUUAAUCUGGGCAAGUGCUUGACUAAGCUGCUGGAUACAAACCCCUGACAGCUUCUCUAGACUCUCUGAAGUAUCUGCAGUGUGGUACUCUACACCUCACCACUCUCCGGUGACAAGGAUUUCAUACAAUUAAGCAUCGAAAGAAUGUUCUAUCAUAUGCAAGAACUUCAUUAACAAGAGCCUAAAACAGAAAACCAUUCGAAGCUGAAGAGUUACCUGAGAGAGAAUCUGGAGAGUAAACUACCACCACUUGCUUUGCCUCUGGGUCUUCCGUUCUGCACCUAUACACACUGCAUGACAAAGCUGGUAUAUCAAUUGUACGUCCAUCAACAAUUUAUCCUCCUUUAUAAUUUUGCCAAGUUGAUAAGCCCCAAUUAUAUAUAAUUAUUGUUUGAAUUUGCAUUUCCUCAAAACUACAGUUCCAAGG
rnacentral:lncRNA from 1 species